CUGGGAAGUUCUUGCAGGCUGUGUUGGAUGACAAAUUUUGCUCAUUUGAAUAACUUAGUCACCCUAUGCCAGCAGUUCUUAUGAGAUAGUUUUAUGCUUUUGUAGAGGAUUUGGUGCAAAGUGAGCGAAAAGGAUAAACGUUCUUGUCAUCCUCGAGCUAUAUGUGGGCUCCACCCCUUGUAUUCUUCUGUCCAGGUUGCUAGUGGGUUCUGGAGCCAUAACCUACAGAAUCACAGAAUCAUAGGAGCUGAAAGGGACCUCUGGAGAUCAGCUCCUCUGCUAAAUCAGGUUCCCUAGAAUAGGUUGUGCAGGAAAGUGUCCAGGCAGAUUUUUGUAUAUCUCUACAACUUCUCUGGGCAACUUGUUCCAGCACUUUGUCACCUCAAAGUAGAGAAUUUUUUUCUCAUGUUCAUAUGGAACUUCCUGUAUUCCAGUCUGUGCCCAUUGCCCCUUGUCUUGUUGCUGGGCACCACCAAAAAGAGCCUAGCUUGAUAACUGCCAUUUUAGAUUUCUAUAAGCACUGAUAAGAUUCCCUCUCAUUCUCCUUUAGGCUCAACAGUCACAGGUCUCUCAGCCUUUCCUCAUACAAGAGAUAUUCCAGGCCCCUAACCAUCACUGUAGCCCUCCCCUAUACUCUCUCCAGUAGUUCCUGUCUUUCUUGAACUGGAGAGACCAGAACUGGACACAGUAUCUCAGAUGUGUCUUACCAAGGCAGGGCAGAGCAGAGGGGGAGGAUAACGUCCCUCGACCUGCUGACCUCACUCUUUUUAAUGCACUCCAGGAUCCCAUUGGCCUUCUUGCCCACAAGGGCGCACUGCUGGCUCAUGGCCAACCUGUUGUUCACCAGGACACCACAAGUCCUUCUCUGCAGAGCUCCUUUCCAGCAGGUCAUCCCCUAACCUGUACUAAUGUGUGCAGUUAUUCCUCCCCAGGUACAAGACUCUAUGCUUUCUCUCGUUGAAGCUCAUCAGGUUAAUCUCUGCUCAACUCUCCAGCCUGUUCAGGUCUUGAUGGUCAGCAGCACAGCCUGGUGUGUCAGCCACUCCUCCCAGCUUCUUAUCCUCAGCAAACUUGCUGAGGGUGCACUCUAUCACUUCAUUCAGGUCAUUGGUGAAGAUGUUGAACAAGAAUGGACCCAGUACCUACGCCUGGGGAACACAGCUAGCUACAGACCUCCAAGUGGACUCCGUGUCACUGAUCACAACACUCUGUGUUGUGCCAGUUCUUAGUCCACCUCACUGUUCACUCAUCUAUCUCACACUUCUUUAGCUUACCUAUGAGGAUGUUACAACAUAGAAGGCUACCAUAUUGGUCAAGCAUGAUUUCCCCUUGUUGUAUCCAUGUUGACUACUCCUGAUAACCUUCUUUUCUUCCACUUGCUUGGAGAUUACAUCCAGGAUAAGUUAUUCCUUCAUCUUUCCUGGGACGGAGUUGAGGCUGUCUGGUCUGCAAUUUCCUGGGUUCUCUUUCUUGCCCUUAUUGAAGACUGGAGUGACAUCGGUUUUCCUUCAGUCUUCAGGCACCUCUCAUGUUCUCCAUGACCUUCCAAAGAUGAUAGAGAGUAGCUUGGCAAUCACUUCUGCCAGCUCUCCCAGCAUCCCAUCAGAGUGCAUGGAUUUGUGUGUGUUGAGUUUGCCUAGAUGAUCUCUAACUAGAUCUUCCUCAAUCAAGGGGAAGUCCUUCCUUUCUUCAUACUCUCUCUCUUACAUCCAGAGUCUGGGAUUCCCGAGGGCCAGUCUUAGUUUUAAAGAUUGAAGCAAAGAAGGCAUUUAGUAAAUCUGCCUUCUCAAUGUUCUCCAUUACCAUGGCACCCACCUCAUUCAACAGCAGGCCCACAUUUUCCAUAGUCUUCCUUUUGAUAUACUUCCUGUUGAUAUACUUAAAGAAGUCCUUCUUGCUGUCCUUGACAGAUUUAAUUCCAAGUUGGCCUUAGCCUUUCUGGCUAAGAGCUGAAUGACCAGUGUGUGAGGAAAGGAUUUCUUCACACAAAUGCCUUUCUCCCCACUUCUUACUGCAGUCUUGGUCUCCUGAGAGAACUUAGGUUUAAACAUCGAAUCACAAAAUGGCUUGGGUUGGAAAGGGACCCCAAAGAUCAUCAAGUUCCAGUCCCUCUGUCACAGGCAGGGCCACCAACCUUCUCUUGGUAAAGCCAUGCUGGCUGUCUUGGAUCACCUGUUCAUUCCUCAUGUGCUUUAACAUGUCUUCUAGGAGGAAGAACAUUUGGUGCUGAAAGCUAUGGGGAAAUCUGAGUCUCCCACUCAGACAUUUAAGUGUUUGCAUAAAUGUCCUUCUAAUGUCUUCUGUUAAGCCCCAAAGUAAUACUAAGAAUUACUUGAGAUAUUUUGUCAUCCACAGCCUUUUAGUUGAAAGCCUUAGAGGUAUUAUAGCCCAGGUCUUUAUAUCUCAAUGACAGUUCUUCAUCCACCUGAGACAGUGGCUCUCGAAGAGCUAGAGCUGCAUGCUUAGCCGCCACUCUAAUGCAAGAGGUUGCAUUUGGCAAAGGCACAAUUUGUUUCUAAAAUUGUCUCCAAGAUCCCUUGUAUGCAUUUGUAUCUCCCAGACUACUAGCCAGCUGGUAUUUUACAUAGUGUAAUUGUUUGUUUAGCUAAUGAAGUGGGAAAAAACAAAGAGCUGAGAUCCUGAGUAGCCCUGAGAGAGAGGAGGAGGAGGAACAUAGCCGCCAGGGUGUUGAACUGCAGCCCUAAGGGAUAGUUUUGAUUCCUGACUCAAGAGAGUCAUGGUUGAAAUGCAGAAAAGGAUGCCUCAGCACAAAAAGAGGAGGAAGAUGCUGGGAGCUGCCUGCUUUUCCUGUUUAUCUCAUUGGGAGGAACUACUGCAAUGAUGUGUGAUGGAGAACAGCUUUUGUCUGCUGAUGCUUACUCAGAGCAGGCAUGAUCUACUUCUGCAAACAUUUCCACUCUUCCUUCUGGAAGGAAAGAACAUGCUCACAGAAGUGUGGUUUCCCUUCCUUGUGGCCUUUGCCCUACCAUUUAAUGAAAGGCUGUUCCUUUAGUUGUUUUUCUGAUGCUGAAGGAUCUAGUGUGAAGCUCCUGCCUGGAGGAGCUUUGCUGGUGAGCAGAAAGCACAAGGAAAACAAUAAAAUGUCUUCCUGCAUCCCCCACCCUCUUUAAUUUUCUGGUUUGACUUCAAAUGCAGGCUACCAUCAUUUCCACAUGGAACAGCCACAUGAAAAGCACCGCUAAACAGUUCUGAGUUUCCCAGCAAGAAUCACAGCAGCUAAAUAUAUUUAAUCUGUGGGUAUUGUUCAUGUUGGCUUUAAUUUCCUGUUCUCAAAAGGUUUAGGAAUUUAAACCCCUGAGUCAUUACUGAAGCCGUUAAUGCUUGAAGCCUUUUUCAGAAAUGAAGAUAAAGGAAGUGAUAUUAAUACCAGCUUAGCAUGAAUUGAGCCAGAAUAGCUCUGUGAGAAAUUCAUUGCCAUCCCAGAGACAUCACUUAGUUUCUAACCAUGACGAAAGCUGCCCAGAAGCAGGUAGGUGGAUGAGGUCAUUCUCCCUGAGGUGAAUAAGAUGCUUCUCAUUUAAAACUAAAAAAAAAACCAAAAGUCUCUCUGGCAAGUUAUGGGCUGCAACAUCCCCAUCUGGAAACUUCUAGAGCACUCUACUCUUCUUUUGUUUCUAAAAAUUGCAGUAUCUUUCUAAGCAGUGAUUUCUCAGAGUUUAUUUGUGAGAUUUCCCUGGAGCUGGAGGUGAUAUACUCACUCAUGCUGAAUAAAAGAUUGGAAGAAAACUUUCCCUUCGUUCAAUGUAGUUAGGUCUUCAGGUUCGUGCUUCUGUACUUGCAGAUCUUGAUGCUUUCUCCCAAAGUCCUGAUGACAACAGGCACCUCAGAUGUAAGGUCCAGCCACAAGAUGCUUCAGUGGACGAUGUGGCUUCCAUUGCUAAGGAGACUGAACAGGAUUUAGGACAAAUCAAGUCCUUAAUCUUCUUUCAGGGGCCUGGUUUAGCUGCAAGACAGCAACAAGCUGCCUUUGACUCUCAGUGAACACUAAAGGCCAAAACAAAGUCCAGGGAAAUUUGAAUAGAUCCUAACAAAUGACUGUAGUUAGAAGUGAAAUGAAAACUUUGUGGGAACUGGUAUUUAUUUGCAUGUCAAUGUGGUUUUAUUUCUGGAAUGUGAUAGGAAGAGAAUAAUACAUAUUGGAAGAGGCUUCUGGAGGUCAUUUAGCCUAAUCCGCUUCUCACAACAGGGUCAACUGCUUUGAUGUAAAUGUUGAUGACCAUGACCGUGAAUAUGGAAGAAGCUGCCUCCACUGCUCUUCUUUGGAUUGUGCCUUUGGGUAGCACAGAAGCAGGGAAACUAUGAGGCAUCUUCAGAACCUAGGAGCUCCACAGAGAUGGAAAAGACUUGGAAGGAACAAGCUUGGUCUUCUUAUCAAUCUUGAUUUAAUGAUAUGUGCUGUCUGUAAGUUGUGUUAUCUCCCUAUGUAAGACAGAUUUCACUAACUUUAUUAGGCAAACAUUGCUAAAGCAAACAGAAAAUAGCAGCAAUGCUGAGUGAAAUGAGAGAGCAAGUAGGAAUGGAUUUAAUUGCUGUGUCCCAAGCAGUGGUGAAAUGUUUAGCUGCUCAGACCAUGGAGGCACCUCUUUUACCACCCAGACAUGAUGCUGCCUUCAGGCUGAGCUCAAAGCAGGACAGAACAGAGCUUUAUCAAGAGGAAGAGAAAUAGAUGAGGUGGAGAACCAUUUUUAUGUUGAGUCCUUGCUGUCAUAUGAGAAUAUGGUGAAAGGAAGAAGGGGCCUGACACACAGCAGUGUGUUGUGGCAGCUCAGGUCCAUCAGGAAUGGCUGGAACAGCUUCCCAUCAGAAUUCAUGUCAGAGGUUUGGGAGAGAGCUUGAAGCAACCAUGCUGGAAGGGUAUCGUGGCCAGCUCUCCAGGCAGGUGUGCUCAGCAUGUGCUCAGAAAGGACUCCUGGCUCAGCCUGAUAGGAUAAGCAGGAGUGGAUGAGUUGCAUGGCUGCUGCUGCCUCUUGAGCAGUGCUCUCAUUUUACUUGAGGCCCUGUGAGGCUAUCUAGGGCAGUUUGGCUUCAUUCUGUAUUUGCAAAGCCCUGCAGCAUGCUUGUUCCUGUUGCGCUUGUUUUAAGGAAAGAGCCUUCUGUCCCCUUCUUGCCUCUAUUUUCCAUCAUCAAUUAGCUUGAGUCUCUGAGACUACAGCGCAUGACCACUUCUUUUCCUUUCACUCUGGAGCUAUUCCUGCUCUUGUAACAAGCUUUCACAGAGCCAGCAAGCAUCAGGAUGAGUCUGAGCCUCUGGGGCUGUCUCUCCAUCUGUUUGUUUAAUGACACGCAGCAGCCUCAUCUCUGACUUUGCACCCUCGGGACAAUAAUCCACUCCGAUGCUCAGGCCAGCCAGCUAUUCUGUGAUGAGGCUGUGGCUGGUGCACUGUAGGUUGGAGGUGGUUUCAAAACACUUCCUCUGAAUUUCAUUAUGGCUCAGAUUCUUUGUGGAAAAGAAAGGGCAUGAGCACUUGCAGUGUUGCUGCUGUUCUGUGAGGCUGAAUGUGGGUUCACAAUGAUGAUGAUAGCAACAGAUCUUGUUUUUAAAAUACUUCUACACAGUUUCAUGAAGCAGUGAAGGGUUGCUGUACUUGCCAAGCAAUCCAGAAUCACCACCUUCAGGAAAUACUUAUGGCAAAAUGGGCCACAUCAGAUGGCUUCGGAGCUGUUCUCCACCCUCUGAAUGCCAUGCAGAUAAGAGAGGAAAGAAAAAGCACUUCUGUAUCCAGUGCUUAGAAGAACCCUUAGCUGGAGGUCAGGGGUGGAGGUGGGGGGAAUGGUGAGCAAAAGGGCAGUGGUACCAAAUGAUCUCUGAAGGUGGUCCUUGAAAUUACUCAGUGAGAGUGAUUAAGCUUUAGGGAAGAGAGACCUCAGAAGAGUGCUGGUUUCAAAAUCUUUCUUUGCUACCUGCUUGGUUCCUGCUGUCUUUCUGGUGAGAGCUACAUGGUGGCUGCAUACUGAAGUCAGGCUGCCCAAGGGACAAUCAGCAGGGACCAUCCUGUGGAUGAGCAAAAUAUCCCCCAAGAAAGAAGAGGUCUCCCCAGGGGUGUGCUUUGGUUUUAGUGCUCCACCAAGAAUGGGAGAACAUUCCUCUCCUUUGGGGUAGCAUCAGGAAAAUUCAUAGUUAUCCCCUAGUUUGGCUCUUCCUUUCUGGUUUAGAUAUGGAGGUCACAGGUGGUAAUUCCAGCUUGUUGUGCCUUACAGUGCAUUUUGUAGGUAGAUGGAGAGCUUGCCCGAAUAGUUUGAUAGAAUCUUCAUACAAAAUGAGGGCCUGCUCUUCCAUGGGCCAUCCCGACCCAGGAUGCUGUGAGCAGAACUUUCUGAAGCAGGUAAUUAUAUGGCCCCAAGGCUUUCUGCCCAGUGUGGGCAAGUGCUCUUGUGUUUGGUGAAAAGAAGCUUUGGUACGUAGCUGAGCCAAUAUUCAGGCAAGGAGCUCAACUCCAAUGAGACAAGGCUAAAGCCAAGUGAACUGUGGGAAUGUUUUAGUGUACUCAAGUUAUUUCCAUUGAGUGGGAACUGAUUGAUUUGUUUACUUAAAGAAAGUAGAUGUUCAACAUAAAGGUGAACAUUUUAAGAUGCUACCAGUUGGUCUUCCUUAAAAUAUGGUGAACCCAUAGCCUCCACUUGAUGACAGAGGUCUGUGCUAUUGAAGUCUGUACCUCUCAUGCCCUUGUGAAGGGAGAGAGCCUUCAGAGCUCUGGAGAAAGCAGGACUAUGCUUGUGGUGAUGCCUUUGAAGAGGGAAGGGCCACUGAUGCAUGAAGCUCCCUCAGUUUCCCUAGCACAGCAUUUUUCUGGAGCUUAUCUAUGCAAUAAGCCUUUCAGGUGCCUGUUUGCCCUGUGGUAGUAGAAGGACAAAGCAGUUUGCCCCAUUACAAGAAACUCCCUCUGCUCUACCUUAUUCAGGAGCAGUCAGGAAAUCUGUCUCUCUCCCCCACUCCCCCAUAGUGCUUUCCUUUCUCCAAAAGCAGCAUGCCACAUCUUUCUCUUACCCCAGCAAUGAAUCUGGGUUAUUGUUUGCUCAAGGUUAUUGAUGCUACCUGCUCUUUCAGCAGGAAAAGCCUCCACGCACAGCUGGGAGAGAGCCCGCAGAUUUUCCCAAUCUCCAUUUAUGCAGAAGACACUGAGCAGAGUGUAAAAGGGAUGACAGAAGCAUGGCACGAUCCUCCUCCUUCCCUCCCCUUCCUGGCUCUUUGAUUCAAGGAGCAGGGGCUGGUUUGUGAAUGAGGAGCUGAAACUCAUUCAGACUGAACGAGUAACUGAUAAAGGAUGCUUGUUAGCUGAAGCCAACCACAAAAAGGUAGCAGUUCUCAGGAGGGGGCUUAUUUCCCAGUGAUUCAUCGGUGCAUAACAGAUGCAAGGAACUAAUAAAAUAUUACAGACGUGCAGAGCUUUGAUCUUUCUGCUCUUUCUUUCGUUUUCCCAGGGGUGAGGGCUGUUGUUGAAGUGAAUGGAGAGGAAAAGGCUAAUCUGGCAGCAGGGCUUGUGGAGAGGAGGUCAGUAGCCCCAGUCCAGAAGCAUUCUUUGGGGCUUGACAGAGAUUGGCCAUAGUGCAUUUGUGUAGGCUUUGCAGCACUUGCUCUGCUUCCCCUUGCACUGAUGUUAACCUGCUUGCAGGUCUGCUGAAGUAGGGCUGGGGCAUGAAUGAACAUUUUGCUGUUAUAUUUCUUUCUGCAAGCUCAGAACUGUGAGCAUGAAAAAGUAAAAUGCAUUUCUGGGUCAAAAGCUCUUGUCUUCCCAACUUCUGUUUCAGCUGCUGUAACUCCCAGAGACCUAACAGCCUUGAAUCUGGGGCCCUCAACAGCCACCAGCUUGGAAUUUAUUUUUUUUUUACUGUGACUGAUCUUCAGGAUGACUACAUUUAAGUUUUGUCUCUGUGAAUGCAAUGAAGAGAGAAAUUUGUUUCCGUUACAGAGAAAUCACUACAGUAAGACUCCCCCAGCCCUGGGGCUUGCAUGGAAAAAAGCACAAACAUCAGUAGCAUGCUGAGAGUGGCCUCCUGCUUCUGGGUUAUCUGUCCACUGUUGUCUGUCAGUCUGGCUGUCAUUACACAAAGGAAGCCAAUUCACAUUAGCAUGCAAUUUCUGCAGAGGAUUGGAUUGCAAUUUAUAUGUACAUAUAUUUCCUUAAGAAGACACAUUUGUGAGUAUGUCUCUCUUAAAAGUGCACUUUUUCAUUAACUCAUCAGGUCUGGCUUCUUUCCUAAGCCUUCUGCUCUCCCCACAUGCCUUGUCUAAGCAGCUUCCCCCUACUCCACCUUACUCUGCUUGACCACUGGAUUUGCAGCACCAGUUUUUGUCUUGCCCUCUCCUGCCAGUCUGUGUGUGCAACGCCUGCUGUUCGCUGUUCAUUUCCUGCAGAAGUGGGUACUCUUCCCCUGCAGCGAUGAAGUUGUGAUGCCUCGUCCCCAUUGGGGUGUGGGGUCUGGCUCUGCAGGUCUUCGUCCUCCAUGAUGUCAUUCUGUCAGACUGCUCACCUGCUGCCAUUUGUUAUAUGGCAACAAAAUGUAACAGAAUAUAGGCAGGAAAGUUCAGCCUCUGCUGCCAUACCACCAACAUCCAUCUCUGAUGUCAUGGGUCAAGAUCAAAAAAUAGGAGGCCUUAGUUUCAGAGCAGCCCUUAUAUAUAAGUGUCUCUUGUCUCCUCGCUGAGGGUUACUGAUCUGUAGCUAUGUAAGAAAUAGCCUGGGUCUGUUAAUGGAAACAGGAACUGUAGGACAGUCAUAGAAUCAUAGAAUGGCUUAGGUUGGAACUUUAAAGACCAUCUAGUUCCAACCCCCCUGCUGUUGGCUUGUUGCAGCGCACCAGAUCAGGCUGCCCAGGGCCAUAUCCAGCCUGGCCUUGAACAUCUUCCACAACUCCUCGGCAACCUGUUCCAAUCCCUCACCACCCCCUGAGAAAAUAAUUUUUCCUAAUAUCUAACCUAAAUUUCCCUGAGCCAUUCCUCCUUGUCCUAUCCCUGUUAUACCAGGUAAAAAGUCUCCCUCCUUCCUGUUCAUAACCUCCCUUUCAGGUACUGGAAGGCCAUGAUGAGGUGUCCCUGGAGCCUUCUCUUCUACAAAUUAAAGAAGCCCAGCUCCCUGAACCUUCUCAUCAGAGAGCUAGUCCCUCCCUCUGAUCAUCUAAUGGCCCUCCUCUGGACCCACUCCAACAAUUCCACAUCUUUACCGUGUUGGGAACUCAAGGCCUGGAUGCAGCACUUCAGAUGGGGCUUCAUGAGGGCAGAGCAAAGAGGGACAAUCCCCUCCUUUGCCCUGCUGGCCACUCCUCUUUUGAUGCAGCCCAAGAUGCAGUUGCCCUUCUGGGCUGCAAGCACCUUGCACUUGGCCUAUUAAACAUCACUAGGUUCUUGUAAGCCCAACUGGUCCCAAGAUGAGCACCUGGGUGACAACACUCAUCACCAGCCUCCACAGAGGACACAGAGCUAUUGGCCACAACCCUCUGGCUUCAACCAUCCAACUAAUUCUUUAUCCACUGAGUAGUCCACCUUUCAAAUCUGUAUCUCUGCAAGUUAGAGAUGUGGAUGUGGUGAGGGACCAUGCACAAGUCCAAGUAGAUGACAUCAGUUACCCUUCCUUGGUUCACUGAUGCCAUCACUACAUCACGGAAGGCCACCAGAUUGGUCAGGCACCAUCUGCCCUUGAGGAAGCUGUGCUGGCUGUCUCAGAUUGUCACCUCUUCAUCUUGCAUGUGACACAAGUGCUAUGGUGUUCAUUUGAAGGUUAUCAAAGAAGCUUAGAGAUAUGUUGUACUGGAAACAGGUAAAGGUGAGGGAUUUAUUUAAUGUCAGAUUGCAGCUCAAGAUCUCCCUAGGACCUGUCUGCUCCAUGUAAAGUAUUUUAGUUGUUUGGCCUGAAUUCAUUGAAUUCCUUGACUGUCCUGUGGGCACUCUAAUCACCAUAGUUGGGAGGUCUAGAUUAGGGUGCAGGAACAAAGUCACCAAUGUGCAGCUAUGGAUUGUUUUUCAGCUGCCUCAUAGAUCUUAUCUGUCAGGCUUUUUAGCAGAAAUCUGCUAAAAGGUUUCUGCGUGUGUAUCAUUUGAGUGGUUCUCUAACCAGUUUUUCUCUUGCUGAGCAGGAGUGACAGAAGGACUGACUGCCAAAAGCUGGGCACACAGAAGUGAUGGCUGUAGUCAGACCCCCCUAUGGAAGCAGGUAGGCAGCUUGGUAGAGAGAUGCCUGUGGGAGUCAGGACUGGUUGAUUUUCUAUCCUUGUGCUGUUUAACAUGAAAGAAAGAAAGAGAAAGGAAGGAAGGAAGGAAGGAAGGAAGGAAGGAAGGAAGGAAGGAAGGAAGGAAGGAAGGAAGGAAGGAAGGAAGGAAGGAAGGAAGGAAGGAAGGAAGGAAGGAAGGAAGGAAGGAAGGAAGGAAGGAAGGAAGGAAGAAAGGAAGAAAGGAAGAAAGAUUGAUUUCAAUUUAAAAUGGCUCUUCUGUCCUCUAAACUUAAAAGCAAACUAGAUGGGGGAGGGAGAACUGGCAGACACCCUUGAGGUCUGGAUACUUAAAAUAAGAUCCUUUUUUUGUUGUUUUGUUUUAAACUUGGUUUGCCAAAAACUCUUAGUAAGACUUCUUGCACUGAUCUGGGACAGGAAAACAUUGCAAAAUACCACAUUCUGGUCAGACAGUAACAUUGUUUCCUGCCCUGCUCAAAUACCAGCCAUGAAGUCCUUCUGCCUCAGUUCUUGGGAUGGCUUUUCUCCAAUGUUUGCCUUCUCCACUGGGGUGGAUUCUGACACUUCCUGCUGGUCUGGGGGAUUGGCUGAAGCCACUCCAAGCCUGUAGACAGAACAGCUUAAAUGCUUGCUUGCUGCUCUGGAGCUAAAUCUCUAUUCCCUGAUGAUAUUCCCUGCAAGAUCCCUCCCAUUCACCUCCAGAAAACCAGCUGGCAGAUAAAAAUCCAGCCAACUGGAUUUAUAACCACCACAUGAAAGCUGCAAGAUAAGUGCAAAAAGCCAUAUCCUUCUGUUAUUCUCCUAAAAGCAUGGCUGAGCUCUAGAGUUCAGCUUGUCACAGAUGAUGAGGUUAAUUCUGCAGGCAGAUUGGCUCUCUUUGCCAUAAAUUGCUGCUGUGCUGAUUUCUGUACACCAUUCAGAAAUCCCUGGUCUGAGGAAGGCAGUUCUGGAGCUGGCUGUGUUCAGAGCAUAUGUACAUGCCUGGGGACCUGCACUGUCUGAAUGAUGGUGUGAGCAGCUAUCUGUUAGAGAGCAUCUAUCUGAGCAACCUUCACUUCCACCACCACAUGCCUACUAGACCUGGAAGAUCCAAAAUCCUUCAAGCAGGUUGCAGAAGUCUACAUGGGGAGCCAUACAGUCCUUGUUUUUGCAGUAAAAUGAAGCACGCAACAGACUGAAGCACAGCAAGCCUCUCUGGGCAUGUCAUGGUGACCCUGCUGUCCCUGGUGUCCAGCUGGACAUCUUCAGCAGGUGGUAAUCACAGAAUGGCAGAAUAUCAUGAGAUGGAAGGCACACACAAGGAUCAUUUAGCUUCGUGCUAUGAGGAGCUGCAGGCUGCCAUGAGGCCUCCCCUCAGUCUCCUCCAGGCUGAACAAACCAAGGGACCUCAGCCUUUUCUCAUGUCUUGACGUCCAGACAAAUGAUGUGAAGCCUGUGCCAUGCUGUCCUAGUCCUGAUCACUCACAAUUUCUUGCCAGUGGUUUCAGGCUGAACUACUGGGCUAUGAAGGAGAGAAGUUGAAGGAGGAGCCAAACUGUUGUCCUCACUGCGAGAACAGAUGGCUUGUCCUUUUCCACUCCCAGGCCUGCAUCUCCUCUCUGCAAAGCAGGCAGUGAGUGGAUCUUUCAGAACUAACCUUGGGGGUCUGCCCUCCCUGCUCCUCUGUGCUGUGCUCACAUCUGUGUCCCUGCAGGCUGAGGCUGGGGGAGCUUUCUCCUUGCAGGUUUCUGUCAUAUGGUGCACAUCAGUAUGGUAUGCUGUUUACUGUCUCGUCUGUUCCAAAAAUGUUACACGGGGGAAAAGCUCUUGGCCAGGGCAAUGUUGAAUUUUCCAGGUUCUGUUCCAUUGGGGUUUCAUUGCUUGCAACCAUUAGCAUGUUUUUUUUCUUUAAAUCCAGGCCUCUGCAGCCUUAACUAGCUGACUGGGAACAUAAGCUUGGUUGAUAUAUGACAGUUUUGAUGGGGAAACACAAGCAAUGGAUGUGGUGACUAGAGAUGACUGGCAAAAGCAUCUUCUUUCUGUGGAAAAUGUUGGGAGUUAUGGCAAUUCACAAUUCCUGCUCAUGCAUGGGGUGCUGAAUGCUGGCAGGGCAGAGUGUAAUUCCUGACAUUGCUGGGAGGCUGGAAGAGAAGAAAAAGCCAAGGAAAGCCUGGCAGUGAAGUCAGUGCUGAUUGUGCAACCCAGCCCAUUGACAUCAUGUAACAUAAUGGUAUAUAAUGUGCGUAUCCGCAGUUCAGUGAAAGGUUCCUAAGAUAAUGAAAGCUCCCAAGAGCUACUGGUAGGCAUGGAAUGUGCUCACAGUGUUAUGUUUGCUUGUAUUUGCUGUUUAAAGUGCAUACAGAGAGACACAGCUCUCUUGGAUGGAGGACAAGAGAGGUUCCUGUUCUGCAGAGCAAACCCUAUGACUUCCUUGAAGAAGUCCUAGAUGUCCUGCCCGCCUCUGAGCUGCAGGCUCUUGGAUUUUGUUUUGGGAGCAGGCCCUUCCACCAACACAGGAGCCAGCAUGGAGACUCCAGCAAGCCAGGGGUGUUCUCUGCAUGGGAGCAGCUGCUGCAGGUUCAAUGCCAAUAGAAACCCAGAUGAACUCAGAUGAGUUUUGACACAUAAAUGAGGUAUCAUAGGAGGACUACAAGACACCAAAGGUCAAUCUCUGUUUGCUGUGUCCAGUGUUGUUUGUUCCUGUGCCUUGCUGGCAAAGAAAAAAAUCCAGCCAGCUCCCACAGAACACUCCCAGUGACCCCCAGUACUGCCUUGAGCUUUCUGAGCACCCUCCUAGAGUGUCCAGUACUACUGAGUUCACCCCAGUACUGACUAGAGAUUCCCAAUGCUCCUUAGAGCUUCCCAGUACCCUCCCAGUGCCCUCAGUACUGACUGGAGACCCCUAAUACCCUUGCAGUGCCGUCAGUACUGACUAGAGUCCCUCAGAGCCCUCCCAGGAUAGCUGUGCAUGCAGUGACAGUGCACUUGGCUGAACUGAGAAAGGAAUAAACCCUUCUGACACCCACCUGAUCUCAAGAAAUUAGUCAGUAAGCUCCCACCUACCAUGAAGAGCAGAUUAGGAGCAUCUGCUGAGAAUCCUGAUUAUCUUUUUUUUUGCUGCCAAAUAUUCUGUGGCUGUCAGUUUUACACAGGUUUGUCAUGGCAGACUCAAUCUGUGUGUGCCUACCAUGCUACAAACAGGUGCAAAGAACACCAUCAUGUUCCCGCUCCACAACAUGGACAUACCUAUGAGACUAGUUUCUCUUUAGAGAUCAAAUGAAGUGCCUUAAGUAGAAGAAGGCAACCUUUGAGGCCUCGUGUUUUUGCCCGAUGUCUGAGCAGGCUGUGAUUUGAGCUGGAGUAAUUUUGCUUGGACAGCAUUAUAUUAGAGGAAACCAUAGCUAUGUUUGAGUUUAAAUUACUCUUUAUUCAUUGUGAUGAAAAGAAAGCAGCAAAGCUCUCUUGUCUCUCUUGAGCCAAGACAGGAGCUGAGUUCCUGCUCUUCCCUGCAGCAGGAGAAAGAGUCUUUCUACUUCACUGGUAAGGUCAAAUAAUGCAAAGUCACAGAUAAAAAUGCAGAGACUGUCUUGUUUUUGUUUUUAUUUCUGUUUUUUCUUUUUUUCUUUUCUUUUUCCUCAGGUAGGAGCAUUUCUUUCAGUCUCUUUUUUCUUUCCCUACCUUCUUUCUUCUAACUCCAUAUCUUUCUAAAAUACAUCAAACAUCUUCUUGAUCACACAUUUCUGAGCACAAUUCUUACCUUUCUCAUAUAGGAUUUUCUUUCAGGGUUUGUGAAGUACUCCUUGUUAGCAUGAAAUGCAGAAAAGCCAGAUGGUUUGGCUGGAGUCCAGUUACCUAAGAAACGUAGCAAUAGGACCCUAUCAGAAGCUGUUUCCUCUAAAGAUCACUCUUGACCUGCUUUGUUCUAAUAACCAGCUUAGAGUCAGCAUUGAGCUGUCAGUGCAUACUUUCCCCCCAUAAUUAAUCUACUAGAGUCAGCCUGAAAUCAAUAUCAGUGACUUUGUGGCUCCUUUUUUUCCCCCUUCAAAUAUUGUUUCUCCAUAUGACCCUUCAAAGGGAUGUUGAAUGACGCAAGCUAUUUUUCACCAGUAGUGCUGUAGUGGAAGUUUUGAUGGUAUUUCUCUCUCCCUGGUCUGAAGCACCUGGUUUGUCCAAGCUCUGGGAUGGCUGGAUAUGCUCUGCUACUUCCCCAGUGGCUUCAGAGCUCCUAUAGCUCCCACGGUUGUUCUGGCCACUGGGUACAGAUGGGGGAUAAGGUGUGUGUUGCUGUGCACGCAUAGUCUGGGACAAAGAAAUGCAUGUGGUCACGAUCCCUCAGACCAUGAUGAACAGAAUUGUAUCCCAGAAAAGCAGUGCCCAUCACUCAGACAUGGGGGAUGUGAUUUAGCAGCUUCUUAGUGUCUUGCUCCAAGCUGAAUGCUCUGCUCUGCCAAUUGAUUUUUCGUAUUGAGAUCAGAACUGUUUUUUCUUCUUAAUCAAGGGAGAUUGAGAGCUGUCAGGCUCAGUAGGAAUCCGGCCCCCUUGACUCCUGCAGUGUGAUUGCUGUGAUUGCUGGCAUGGUCAGUGCCUUACCUCUAAGGUGUCCUUCUCUCUUCAGAGCUCUUACACUGUUGUUGUCUUUUUUUUUUUUUCCUGUCUGUGAUUACUCUUGCGUAAUUGUUCCAUUAAAGUGGAUAUCAAAAUAAUUGGACAGUCCCUCAGUAGAUGUAAAAUUUAUUGUCCGCUUGUGCCUUUGUGCUGAAGUUAGGAUCUUGGAUUUAAAAAAUCCUUUUUCUCCUGGCGAUGUGGGAGUUUCCCCUAAAGAUGUGGAAUGUUUACUGCAUACCAAAGGCAAGAUAUUUUGCAGGCACGAGGCUCCUAACACCUACCAUUUCUAAACUGCAUGUGGCCUGUAUGGAUUUCCUUGUGCUGAAUUCACAUGGAAACACAAACAUAUGUGGCAUUUUUGUUGCUUUUCUAGGAAAUCACUGAGCACAGCCCUGCAAAAUAAUACUUCCUACUGUUAGCUCCACUGAGUGUGGGGGAAGGUGCUGCCUUUGUGUCCCAGGCUGCUGGAGCCACAUGCCAAGGCUUGUGAGUCAUUCACCCUGAGUGUCUGGCUUUCCAGGAAGGCAAAUCCCAAUUUUAGAACUUAUCAUGGACUGAAGAGCACCGUGGGGAAAUAAUAAAGGAAAGGUCAUUGAACAUUAUCAGAACUGGAGGUUUCCAAUGAGAAUCAUGCCAGGAAGUGCAUGAUUAGAAAUAGGAGAAGCUGUGUUGUGUCAAGACAGCUGGAAUAAAGCCAGCAAGAUAUGGACUGCUUUCAGCCUGCUAGUGGUGAAGCAAGCUGACAAGGUGUGAGUAGAGGAGACUGGGGGGAAAAUGUGAGAAAUUAAUAGCUGCUGUCUUGCUAUGUGUGCUUGGCACCACUGUACAACUAUCAGCUGCCUGGGCAUCACCUGGGAGAUGCGAAGCGGAAGGGCAUCUCUCUUGCCUCUGCUGCUGCCAGGUGAAUAUCAGCACAUGCUGGUGUUCCUCAGAGCUUCAUGAUUGGCACUUGCGGUUCCUCAUGGAGGCACACAGCAAUGCGGUGCUGCACAGUGCAUGGAGAGACACGCAAGUGAAGCACAAGAGGGUAGGACAGAUUGCACUGGAGAGCUUCCCUCUCACUUGGUGCCAUCAGCCUGCUGUCUGUCUUGGGUGGGAGGCAUCUUCUCCUUUCCACUUUCAGUCAACAUGGCUGGAAAAAUACCAGUUCUCAGGGAAAGGAGAAGUCCCUUGAUUCUAUGGUGCAUGUAGCAAGAACAAGAAUGCUUUACCUCAGUGUCGUACCUUAAUGCUGAUAUAUCCUCAGCUGUUUUUUUUUGAUUACUUGCAUAUAAUAUAUAUGCAAUAUAUAUACUUUGGAUAUACAGAGCAAAAUACAUGUGUGCUAACAGCAGCUGCAGGACUUCACCUCAGGAAUCAUUCAGUUUCAUCAGUGAAAUCACACUGGAAUGUGCUUCUCAUCCAAACAUUAACCCCACUUAACCUGAAAAAGGUCACACUCCAAGUCUGUCUUGUGUAAGAACAAUUUACUUGACUGGUUUUCUCUAACAGAGCGACCUAGGUGUUCUAUUUAUGUCUCUGCCAUAUCAACUGUUAGAUGGAGAGCUAGAAGAUUUAGCCGUAUUAUGUUCAUAUCAGUUUGCAGGAAAAGACAGCUAAGUGGAAGAGAGAAGGACAAUUUACUUCCCAAGAAAUCCACUUCUGAAAAGCUAAUUAAAGAUAUACACUUUGUACUGAACUCUUGGUCGUGCAAGUGUCUUUCUUGGCCUUUUCUAUGCCUUGCAAGUUCAUCAGAGCUCUUCUAAUUGGGUCUCCUUAUCCUUGGUGAGCCCUAAUCCUCCUUCAAUUAAUGUUCAAUUUUAGCACUACUGUCAUGCCUCCUUUAGCUGUUCUAGACACCUCCUCACAAGAAACCUUAAAAUGUCCAACUUCUACUUUAGUCUUCCUACCCAAGCCCUGAGCAAUGCUCACAGUUGGUAUCUACAGCUGCUUUGCAAAUGUCAUCCAAAUUGACUUCAAUGUGUUCAUGACUUGUACUGCAAGACUGUGGUAAUAUUUCUUACUGUGAUACUAGCUGUAAGAAAGCCAUUGGGGUGUGGUUGGUGAUAGCCCUAAAAUGCUCCUUGCAAGGAAGUGUGUCCCUGCAAGACCCUCUGGGAAAUGAAUGCAAUGCCACCAGACACGAGAGCACACCCAAGAAACCCACCAGAGGCACACUGAUUAUUUCAGUCCAGGUUAUUACCUCUGCUGUGGUUACAUUAUACACUUUGAUCUCAUUCAUCCUAAAAGCACGGAAAGCAUUGGAUCACCACACAUUACUUAUUUUAAACAGUAAGUGAAGGGUCUUCCAGUAAGCGGAUGUUUUUCUCCACCUGGUUUGACUUGAGCUAUCUUUUCCAUCAUGUGCAGUAGUGACAAAGCAGUGGCACUGCUGACAUCUUUGUGACAUACCAGGACAACUUAAGUCCUUUUCUAGUGAACAACUUCAGAAAUUACCAUUGUUUCUUCUGCUGAUUACAUUUUCUGGAAACUCUUAUUAGCUCUUAAGUAAGUUGCUGAAGCUUUAAUUAAGCAUUCGUAUCUCAUUUGGAAUAGGACUUCAGACAAAACUGAGGGACACCAAGCUUCUUGGUAUGUCCAAAAGCUGUUGAUAGUCCCCAAAAAUACAGUAGUCCCCAAGGAAUGUUGGUGACAUGCUAAAUUUUCACUUUUCUCAGAAGUAAGAAAAACAGAAGGAUCCUCAGUAAUGAUGGUUCUUCUGACUGACAAGAAUGUGCACCAUGAGGCUGUUAUUUGGUUUUAAAUUAUAUCCUCAAGGCAGCACCAGUUUUUCUGCAGAUAGAAUAGGAAUCUAAUAAGUUUUCAAGUGGUUGAAAGAUUCCAGCCAAGUCCAACUCCACUUUGUCUGUGACAGUGGAAAUCCUGGCUCUCAGAAUUGGAGUUGUGGAAAAAUUCUGGAAAGGAGUAUUUAAUGGCCUUUCAGGGAGCCUGAAAAGCCCGCAGAGAGUUUUUUUCUUCUAGGAAGGAUAAAGCAGCAGUAGCUGAUUUACGAGAUAUGAACACCCAUGAAGGUUUUUUGGAUGCAGAAGGUGGCUGGUAUGUGACCAGAGAUAAAUGUCCACGCUGUCAUUGCUGCAGAGGGAGAGAGCCUUGCACUGCCUUGGGACCAGCUGCAGCAGGGCCUGCACAAACCCUUAUUGUCAGUGUGGAUGCUUGGAUGCUAGGUGUGCAUUUCUACUGCAUCUCUGAACUAUGAUAAAGGCACUCCUGGGUACAUCUGUGCUGCUGCCAUCAUCUUGUUCUUACAGUCAUUGCAUGCCUCAAGAAGAAGAGAGGCUUAGUGCUGGUGUCAGGAUGGAGCAAAGGAGCAGCAGAUGCUGGCACUCAGCAUGCCCAGGCAACACUGUGCCAUAAGGCCAUCUCUGAAGCUGUUUACCAAACCUGCAUAAUGUAAUUUAAAACCUUAUUCCAAUAAAGGCCUAUGUUUCUGGGAAUAAAUUGUGAAGUGUGAAGUACAUUGCCAGCAACCGCUGUCUCUCACCCACCUUUCUCAGUGCACAGACAUUGGCUUAUAUUUCUGAGCAUUGCAUUGCUUUGUGCAGCUUGGGAGGAUAGGAAGGGAGCAGUGAAAGAUUCUGGAGUGGGGGCUUGAACUGGUGGCAUAAUUUUUUCCAUUGCAAAUGUUUGUUAGCAGACUAGACUGAUGAGUACUAAACAGAGUAAAUAGUCUGACCAAAACACUGUGGGAAUCAGACAC
ensembl:lncRNA